AAAGAUUGAGUAAUCCAUGUUUUAGAGAAGGAGGAAGAAUCGCAUAGAUUGAUAGAUUAGAAGCUACAAAGAAGAGGGGGGCACUCACGGUUUAUAUAGAGACAUCCUCUAGGUUAAAUGGGUUAUGCACAUAGACUAUAAAGCAUCCUCAUUCACCUUAUUAUAAACCGUGUGUGACACAGCCCAUGACAGCUCAAAAGUGAGGCGCGAGGCCGUACACGGGAAGAGGACAAAGAGGAUAAGAUCGGCGCUUUAACGCGCCUCCUUCUUUGGUCAAUAUGACCGUUACUCCUUUCUCUCUUCUUCUUCUUUUAAAUCAAACCGACUUGUAACACAAGUAACUCUAUUUAACAUUUACCUAUUGACUAGUUAAUGUUAAAUAUCUUCUUGAUUAACACUCCCCCUCAAGUUUAUACUACAAUGGAAUUGUGUAUAAACUUGGCCACUUGUGUGAAUAACCUCAUUAAAAACCUUAACAAAGAAAACCACGUGGGACAAAACUUUGUUAAGGGAAAAAGAGUGUUAUCCCCACAAGGUUGGGAAGUCUUUCUCAAGGAUGUGUGAGGUCUACAAGACCAAGUUUACCAUGAAUGAAUUGGCAAACUUGGUUACUUGCUGCCUUGGUGAAGAUGUCGGCCAAUUGGUCUGAACUUUUAGUGUAACAAGGGAGUAUUGUACCGUCUUCGAUCUUCUCUCUUGUCUUGUGGCAGUCCGUCUCUAUAUGCUUGGUCCUCUCGUGGAACACGGGGUUAGUAGCAAUAUGGAUGGCUGCUUGAUUGUCACUAUGGAAAGUAAUUGGCGUCUUUUGCUCAAUCCCAAAGUCUUUUAGUAGAGCCUUUAGCCAUGUUAACUCAUUAGUGAGCUUCUUCAUAGCCCUAUACUCCGCUUCAGCACUCGAACACGACACCACCUUCUGUUUCUUUGUCUUCCAAGUCACGAGAUUCCCACCAAUGAAUGUGCAAAAACCGGUUGUUGAUUGUCUUGUAUUGCGAUCUCCAUUAUAAUCCGCAUCACAAUAUCCAACAAUCUCCGUGCUUGAGUUUCUUCCCAUCCAAAUACCUUUGCCGGGACUCCCUUUGAUAUAUCUCAGAAUUCUCUCCACCAAACCCCAAUGGUACACCGUAGGAGUUUGCAUAUGUUGAGCCACUUGAUUCACUGCAAAAGAGAGAUCAGGCCGAGUAUAUGUCAAAUAUAUGAGCUUACCUACAAGUCUUCUAUACUGUUCCGGGCAAUGAUAUGGAGUAUCAUCCUUCUCCCCCUUUCGAUUGACCUUGUAGCCUUGCUCUAGUGGUGUAUCCACCGGUUUAGCUCCAAGUUUCCCUGUAAGCUUUAGGAGAUCGAGGGCGUAUUUCCUUUGUGAGAGAAACAGUCCCUCCUUGGAUCUACACACCUCAAUCCCUAAGAAAUACUUCAACACACCCAAAUCUUUAAUAUCAAAGGCUGAGUGUAAAGAAGACUUAACCGCUUGGAUCCCUUCUUUGUUACUUCCCGAGAUAAUCAAGUCAUCAACAUAGACCAAUACUACUACUAUGCCUUGAUUAUCUUGCUUGGUGAAUAAAGUAUGAUCUGAAUGAGACUUCUUGAAGCCAUUAGCCAACAAGGUGGAGCUUAGCUUGUGAUACCACGCUCUUGGAGACUGUUUGAGACCAUAGAUUGCCUUCCGAAGCCUUAAGACCUUUCCCGGAGCCACUAUAUCUUCUAAACCCGGAGGAGGUGACAUGUAGACUUCUUCUUCCAACUCCCCCUGAAGGAAAGCAUUCUUGACAUCCAUUUGCCACAACUCCCAAUCCAAAUUGACCGCCAAAGAUAGAACAACCUUCACCGUGUGCUGCUUAGCCACCGGAGCAAAUGUUUCUCUAUAAUCAUCACCAUAGGUUUGUGUGAACCCUCUCGCAACCAGCCUAGCCUUAUACCUUUCAAUUUCACCAUCACUCUUGUACUUGAUGGUGAAAACCCAUUUUGAGCUAACGCACUUCUUUCCUUUUGGUAGCUCUUCUUCAUCCCAUGUAUGAUUCCUUAUCAUAGCUUGUACUUCAUCAUCUACCGCAUUCGUCCACUCCUUUCUUUCCUUGGCUUCCUCAUAGUUUUGUGGAAUAAACUCCACAUCUAACUUGCUAAGAAACGCCUUAUGUUCUUCGGGAAGAAGGUCAAUCGAACAUGUAGCUUGAAUAGGAUGAGCCACAGCUUGACAAUUGUAGUAAACUCUUGUGUUCUUCCAAUUAGAGGGAGAUUUCUUCUCUCUAGUACUCCUUCUUGGAUUUUCCCGUGUGUAGACUGGAUCUUGUGAGACUUGUGGAGCUUGAUAAGUCUCAUCUUCGCUUGAUGGUGCACCAAUUUCACCCUCACUAGAUGGAUCUUUCUCUACCACUUCUUCACUUGAUCCUUCUUCUCUACCCGAAAGUUCUUCUCUACCACUUUCUUGUUCAAUAUCCAACGGCUCUUGUGUUGCAUUCCCACCACUUUCUUGAGCUUGAGCUUCAUUGGUAUCCACGUUUGAUGUAGCUCUCGCAUCUUCUUGUGAGGGACUAACAUUACCCAAAUGUUCUAGAAUAUGUCGGAGACUCUUAGCUCGGUCUAAGGUUGAAUUUGGCAAGUCUUUCACACUUUCCCAACUCUUUUCUCCAAAGUAAGCCUUGUCUUCCAUGAAUUUGACAUCCCUAGACACAUGAUACCGAUUGGUGACUGGAUCAAAGCACUUGUAACCUUUUUGAGUUGUUGAGUAUCCAAUGAAUACGCACUUAGUACUCUUAGGUUCCAACUUGUUUCUCAAGUCACCUGGGACAAACACAAAGCAAAGACUUCCAAAUACCCUUAAAUGAUCAAUGUUAGGAUUUUGUCUAUUCAAAAUUUGAAAAGGAGAUUGAUCAUUAAGGAUACGGGUUGGUAUUCGGUUGAUGAGAUAACACGCCGUCAUAACCGCAUCUCCCCAAAACCGUUUUGGCAUAUGCUUUUGGAACAACAUCGCUCUUGAAACCUCCAUUAGAUGCCUAUUCUUUCUCUCCGCAACUCCAUUUUGUUGAGGGUUGUAAGGGCAGCUUGUUUGGUGUAGAAUUCCACAUUUCUCUAAAUGUCCUUUGAACUUGGUGCUUGUAUAUUCACCUCCAUUAUCUGUUCUUAAGAUUUUAAUCUUGGCAUCAAAGUGAUUAGUCACAUAGUUUUGAAAGUUUAAGAAUGCAUCAUAAACUCUAUCCUUAGAUGGAAGCAAAGUUAUCCAAGUAUACUUAGACUUCUCAUCUAUGAAUGUGACAAAGUACUUAUGAUUAUCUCUAGAUGCACAAGGUGAAGUCCAAACAUCCGAAUGCACAAGAUCAAAGCAUUUUUCAUAAAUGGUAUUGGAUUUAGGAAAAACUACUUUGCAAUGUUUACCUAAAAUGCAUGCUUCACAGUUUGAACAAUCAUAUGAAAAUCCGGGUAAUAAAAGAUUCAAGGCUCGAGAAUGUGGAUGACCAAGUCUCUCAUGCCACAGUACAACCGAUGUUUUAACAGAGUUUGCAAAGAUAGAAGAGGAAACAUUAUUAUUCAAGACAGAAUUUAAAGAUAAGUCUUCAAGCACAUAUAAGUCAUCCUUGGUGCUUCCUUGACCGAACACCUUACCAUUCUCAAUACCCUGCAGCUUAACAUCAUUAGGACUGAAUAUAGCUAAGCAAUUUAAGUCCUUAGUCGUUUUCUUAACCGAGAGUAAAUUCGAGGUAAACUUAGGCAUAUAGAAAGCACUAGAUCUCUUGUUAAACAAAUUAAUGCAUCCUAUACCUUCUAUUGGAACAUUAUGACCAUUUGCAACCUUAACAUUUCCUAGUGCCGGUUUAAUGUUCUCUAACAACUUAGGAUUGCUAAUCAUAUGAUGAGAAGCUCCCGAGUCUAAUACUAAUGAAUUUGAAUCAUGAGAGUUCGAGGUUAAGAGAGAGAUACCGCUGGGAUGUAACUUGGAUGCAAUGGAUUGAAGGAGGCUCUCGAGGUCAGAUUUGUUCAUGACAAUGGUUUCUUGCGCUUGAGAAGUAGAGGCACCACCUUGGUUGUGUAUGACUGCUUGCAUGGCCUUCUCUUGCUGUCCAUAUUGCACAAUUGCCCUCUCUUCAUUUUCUGACCCGCCAUCACCUCCAUUGGCCACGUUUGCCUUUGGCUUGUAGUUCUUGAACUUCUCCGGUUUUAGAUGUGGAUGAAGCAACCAGCAUUUGUCUUUUAGAUGACCCUUCUUCUUACAAUGAUCACAAGACCAUGUCUUCUUAUCCUCUUGUUUAACCAUUCCCACUUUGUUAGCCGUAGGUAGACUUACACCUUUUGCGCCGAAUAGCAUUUGGGAGCUGUACUCCUUUUGAAUCUUGGCACACACUUGCUCUAAGGUAGGAGUCUUUUCGUCUCUUAGGAUGUGUUGUAUCACAUCCGUGUAGCUUGAGUUGAGUGACAGCAAUAGACCAAAGACGCGAUCUUGUUCUCUUCGUUCCCUUAGCACCUUAGCAUCGGUGGUAAAUGGCCUUAGCAUCUCUAACUCAGCCACAAGAGACCUAUACUUCCCAAAGUGUGUAUUGAAGUCACUCUCUUCUUGGUUCAGACCUCCAAGAGCCUUCUUGAUGCCAUAGACUCGAGUCAAGUUAGUUUCAUUGCCAAAUACACUCGUGAGAGUGUCCCAAAGCUCUUUAGCCGUCUCACAAUACGAGUAGCCUUCGAGAAUCGAGGUAUCAAGUGAGCAAUGGAGAGCACUGAGCACAUUGAGAUCAUAUUGUUUCCAAGUCUCUUCAACCAAGCUCUCAUCAAUAGCCUUUAGCUCUUCAUAGGUGGACUCGAUGUGUUUUGUGAGUUUCCUUCCUCCUAACACAUUUAGAGUAGUCCGCUUCCACAAUAGGAAAUUAUUCCCAUUCAAAAUUACCGAAAACUUCAAGUCUUUGAAGGUAUCAUUCAUCUUGCCAUCAUAGACCGUGACUGACAUUCUAUCCCACAAAGCUUUCCGAGUUUCAACGAAAUUUGUAACCUUUUUCCCGUUUAGAAUCCAAAACCAACGGAAAGAUCAAAGCUUGAACCGUGCACAAUCCAAACAACAAACCACAAAAACCAAACUACGAAACUACGAAGCUUGAACCGUUCAGAACUUCAAACUCCACCUAAAGCUUCACACCACCAAGAGAAAGCUCUAACCUUUAAGUGAUAGACUGACCAAUCUGAGCUGAACCACCUUCGAAAACUCUCCAAGGUGACUCUAAACCUUCGCCAGGACACCACUAAAGACACAAAGAGAAUCGCCGUGGUGAUGCUUUCCAAAGAUGAAUCCGAACAAGAGCCUUCAAAGUUACAAGCUUUCCGCCUUUCAAGAACAAACCAGAAGUACACGAGUGAUCCUUGCUAGAAAAUGAAGCACAAACCGAGAGAAAGACUAAAGAUUUAGAAGAAAAAGAUUGAAGAUUUAAGAAACCGCUCUGAUACCAUGUAAAGAUUAGAGAUUUAGGAAGGAAAGAUUGAGUAAUCCAUGUUUUAGAGAAGGAGGAAGAAUCGCAUAGAUUGAUAGAUUAGAAGCUACAAAGAAGAGGGGGGCACUCACGGUUUAUAUAGAGACAUCCUCUAGGUUAAAUGGGUUAUGCACAUAGACUAUAAAGCAUCCUCAUUCACCUUAUGAUAAACCGUGUGUGACACAGCCCAUGACAGCUCAAAAGUGAGGCGCGAGGCCGUACACGGGAAGAGGACAAAGAGGAUAAGAUCGGCGCUUUAACGCGCCUCCUUCUUUGGUCAAUAUGACCGUUACUCCUUUCUCUCUUCUUCUUCUUUU
rnacentral:lncRNA from 1 species